AUAAUUUCCUAGUCAAAGUCGCAUUAGAAUUAGGUUCAUUAGGUUCACAAUGCGUUCUAACGUCAACUCUCGAUGGCUAAAAAUACAGUGCUCAAUUUACAUUCGUUCAUGCAUUCUAUCGGACAAUGGACUCUCCUGUGAACUUUCCUGAGCCAGCAUUUGUGAUCCUAGUCUCAGAU
rnacentral:sRNA from 1 species